UACGUAGGGGGCAAGCGUUUGUCCGGAAUUAUUGGGCGUAAAGAGCUCGUAGGCGGUUUGUCGCGUCUGCUGUGAAAACCCGAGGCUCAACCUCGGGCCUGCAGUGGGUACGGGCAGACUAGAGUGCGGUAGGGGAGAUUGGAAUUCCUGGUGUAGCGGUGGAAUGCGCAGAUAUCAGGAGGAACACCGAUGGCGAAGGCAGAUCUCUGGGCCGUAACUGACGCUGAGGAGCGAAAGCGUGGGGAGCGAACAGG
rnacentral:rRNA from 1 species